AAGAAAAGUCCUGUGUCGUAAUUGUUGUGCACUUUUAGUCAUCGGGUGGGUUUGGAACACUAGACGAUUGGGGGCUUGAGGCUCAGUGCUGAUGAUCUCCAUGGAUAGGACUGAGUGGGGGCAUCGAGGUCCAAGUUCAGGGAAGCAGCUCAGUUCUGCCUCGUGUGCGGCCUUGCGUCCCCGCCUACCAUUCUGCGAGGCCCCGUGUUUCCCCUGUCGCUGGUGGCUGUCAGGUUCUCCCCGGGGCAGCUGUUAUUGACGAAUGGUGACAGCGCGCGUACCCUCCCACCCGCCUCGGGGCUCCGACAGCACGGCAAAUCAGACUUCGUGGAUGCAAACAACAACAACAACAAUGACAACGACGAGUAGGGCAAUGACGACUAAACAAAAGGGACAUUAUCUUUGCACUCAGCAUGUUAAGAGGUGCAGUCGCGUCAAGACAAACGUUUAUCGCUCGAGGAAACGACUAAGGAACGUUGCCAGCGUAUCAGAGUGUGCCAGACCGAAGUGCGCCGAGAAAAAUGUGUAAUGAGAUUGCCGGAGACCCAUAGGGAGAGGCAAAGCAGCCAUUCCAGAAUUUGGAUGGCAAGGGGAUUAGAAUGUGAGAGGGACAGGAGAGUCACAGCACCGACUUUAACGUUACAGAAAAGAGGGCGGGAGCCAGCAGGUCUCGUUAGUCAGUCCACAAGAUGGUCAAAGCUGUCCAGAUACUCUAGAGCAGCCAAGUAACAGAACCUGUAUUCCUCCUGCAAUGAAAAAGAAAGGAUUAAUAUUUGCUUACUGGUAACAUCAAUGAGUGAAUCCUACUAGACAAACUAGUGUGUGCUGAAUAACUAUGAAAAAAAAACAUAUUUGCUUACUGGUAACAUCAAUGAAUGAAUCCUAGACCAAACUAGUGUGUGCUGAAUAACUAUGAAAAAAACAAUCACUGUAUAUUUGCUGAGAUGUGUGUCCAGGUUCACAUAGACCUACCUAUCUGAUGGUCUGUGCAAUCAUCAAUGAAGGAGUUAAAUUUUCUGACAUUAUCAGAUUGGCAGCAUUUGGUAUGGCAAUAUUGUUCUGUUUUACAAUAUGGUUUUGCUUUACCCAGUUAGCAGAGUAGCAUUUCUAGAAGUAGGUUACUGUAAGUAUAGUAAGAUGAAUUUUUAAAAAAAUAUUAGUUUGAAAUGGAAACUCAGUAAUGCAAGUACUAAUGUUUUCAUUAUUUUUUAAAUAAUCUGUUCUUGUGUACUUAAUCAUAUCUACAACUGCAUCAACCUAAGCAACUUUUCUUUUUAUUUCAAUGAUAUACAGGAAAGCUGGCUCUCUCUCUCUCUCUCUCUCUCUCUCUCUCUCUCUCUCUCUCUCUCUCUCUCUCUCUCUCUCUCUCAGCCAACAGACCCACAGUGUCCCCCCACAGUUUGUUGAUGAUAUACCCACAGUCACACACCACACUCCCCCCCUCCCCUCACAUCAGAUAAUCUCCACACUAGUUAGUUAUUAUUUUUUUUUCAUUGGGCCACAGAUCCCAUAGGAUGUCAUUGUACCACCCUCAAACACAACAGCUCACACACACAGCAAGGAGACAGCAAGCACACCUACAUAAAAUCAAGCACACUUCACU